AGCAGCCGCGGUAAUUCCAGCUCCAAUAGCGUAUAUUAAAGUUGUUGCAGUUAAAAAGCUCGUAGUUGAAUUUCGGGAUCAAUACGUCGGUCGUGCCUCGGUACGUACUGGCAUUAUUGAUUUCUCCCUUCUGAAGAACCGCGAUGUCAUUAAUUUGGUGUCGUGGGGAAUCAGGACUGUUACUUUGAAAAAAUUAGAGUGUUUAAAGCAGGCGCACGCUUGAAUACAUUAGCAUGGAAUAAUGAAAAUAGGACGUUUGAUUCUAUUUUUGUUGGUUUUCUAGGAUCGACGUAAUGAUUAAUAGGGAUAGUUAGGGGGCAUUAGUAUUCAAUUGUCAGAGGUGAAAUUCUUGGAUUUAUUGAAGACUAACUACUGCGAAAGCAUUUGCCAAGGAUGUUUUCAUUAAUCAAGAACGAAAGUUAGGGGAUCGAAGAC
rnacentral:rRNA from 1 species